UAUAUGUACACCUAAGACCUUUGCUAUUUUCAACUUUAAAGUCGCAUUGGGUCAGACGAGUCAUCAACAUGAUUCCAAUCAAAGUUCAGAAGUUUUAGAUCCAAGGGAAUGUAAGAGAAUACGAGAAAGAACUCGAUUUGCAACUCAAACAAAAGAACAAAGGGCAUUGCGUAAUAGGGAAUCAUGUAAUAAGAUGGCAAGGAAAAACUAUAAAAGAAGACAACGAGAAAUUAAACUCCAGGACUUAAUCGGCAUUGAGGACCCGAAGUUUACCCCGGAGCUUGUGUGGAGUUCAACAGAUGCUGAAGCGCCUCAUGGGUCUCUAUGUAGCUCCGAAGGCAUGUCUAUCCCUGAGUUAAGUCCAACACCUUUCGUUCCUAAUCCAUCACAGACUGAGGAUGUCGAGAAAGACAGUAUGACAGAGUCUCCUAGACGACAAAGACAUAAACGUCAUGUGUCGU
rnacentral:misc_RNA from 1 species